GAUGAACGCUGGCGGCGUGCUUAACACAUGCAAGUCGAACGGUGAAGGCGGAGCUUGCUCUGCUGGAUCAGUGGCGAACGGGUGAGUAACACGUGAGCAAUCUGCCCCUGACUCUGGGAUAAGCGCUGGAAACGGCGUCUAAUACUGGAUACGAGCUGCGAAGGCAUCUUCAGCAGCUGGAAAGAAUUUCGGUCAGGGAUGAGCUCGCGGCCUAUCAGCUUGUUGGUGAGGUAAUGGCUCACCAAGGCGUCGACGGGUAGCCGGCCUGAGAGGGUGACCGGCCACACUGGGACUGAGACACGGCCCAGACUCCUACGGGAGGCAGCAGUGGGGAAUAUUGCACAAUGGGCGGAAGCCUGAUGCAGCAACGCCGCGUGAGGGACGACGGCCCUCGGGUUGUAAACCUCUUUUAGCAGGGAAGAAGCGAAAGUGACGGUACCUGCAGAAAAAGCGCCGGCUAACUACGUG
rnacentral:rRNA from 1 species